AAAAAGUGACUUCAACUUCUGGUAACUUCUGUGUCUUUCCUGUUGUUUUUGCCAACCUUUCUCCCCCUUCAUUGCCUCGUGCAGAUGUCGGCUCUCCUCACAGAUGCUCUGCUCUGUGCGGCUCAGACCAAAUGUGCGUAACAUGGCCAUGGCAAAGCGGCGCUGCCUCCUCCACACCGUCCCAUUACUGAAGAACAGACCCGCUGAGAUGGAGAGAAACCAGACUUUAACCAGACUUAAACCAGGCAGCACCCACUGCGCGACUUGAACACCCCCAGACGUAUGCAGAACACAUUCCCGUAAACAUCAGCAAGCUGUGGAUGCAGACACAGAGAAUGAGUGGCCUUUUGUCAAGCAUGUGACUCAUUUGUCAGCACAAAAUACUUACCUCAUGACUUAAUAUCUGGUAUUUUGGGGCAUUGUUUUACACAAUAAAUAUUACAGAUAAUAAAAUAUGAAUGAGAUAUUUUAGUACA